rnacentral:rRNA from 1 species
UACAGAGGGUGCAAGCGUUAAUCGGAAUUACUGGGCGUAAAGGGCGCGUAGGCGGGUUAGUAAGUUAGUUGUGAAAUCCCUGGGCUUAACCUAGGAACUGCAACUAAUACUGUUAAUCUAGAGUGCUGUAGAGGGUAGUGGAAUUUCCGGUGUAGCGGUGAAAUGCGUAGAUAUCGGGAGGAACACCAAUGGCGAAGGCAGCUCGCUGGGACGGUACUGACGCUGAGACGCGAAAGCGUGGGGAGCAAACAGG